GGGUGCUAGCUCAGUUGGUAGAGCAGCUGACUCUUAAUCAGCGGGUCCACAGUUCAAUCCUGUGCGCACCCACCA
rnacentral:tRNA from 1 species